UGUAAGCGUAUACCAAAGUUAUUGCAGUUAAAACGCUCGUAGUCGGAAUUUGGCAGUUCCGGAUGUGUGCACGUCGUGUGCGCACUUCGCGGGGAUUGCUUUUGUGGUCUUGCGUAGGAUGAGGCACUUUUAUUAGUGAACGUCCUCACGCAACCACUUUUUACUGUGAGAAAAUCAGAGUGCUCAAAGCAGGCAUUUGCCGUGAAUGUAUUAGCAUGGAAUAAUAGAAUAGGACUUGGUUCUAUUUUGUUGGUUUGUUGGGACUGAGUAAUGAUUAAGAGGGACAGUUGGGGGCAUUUGUAUUUCGGUGCUAGAGGUGAAAUUCUUAGAUUACCGAAAGACAAACUGCUGCGAAAGCGUCUGCCAAGGAUGUUUUCAUUGA
rnacentral:rRNA from 1 species